UACGUAGGGUGCAAGCGUUAAUCGGAAUUACUGGGCGUAAAGCGUGCGCAGGCGGUUUUGUAAGUCUGUUGUGAAAUCCCCGGGCUCAACCUGGGAAUGGCAAUGGAGACUGCAAGGCUAGAGUUUGGCAGAGGGGGGUAGAAUUCCACGUGUAGCAGUGAAAUGCGUAGAUAUGUGGAGGAACACCGAUGGCGAAGGCAGCCCCCUGGGUCAAAACUGACGCUCAUGACACGAAAGCGUGGGGAGCAAACAGG
rnacentral:rRNA from 1 species